CCUACGGGAGGCUGCAGUGAGGAAUAUUGGUCAAUGGACGAGAGUCUGAACCAGCCACGUAGCGUGAAGGAUGACUGCCCUAUGGGUUGUAACCUUCUUUUAUAUGGGAAUAAAAUGUUCCACGUGUGGGAUUUUGUAUGUACCAUAUGAAUAAGGAUCGGCUAACUCCGUGCCAGUAGCCGCGGUAAUACGGAGGAGCCGAGCGUUAUCCGGAUUUAUUGGGUGUAAGGGGAGCGUAGGUGGAUUGUUAAGUCAGUUGUGAAAGUUUGGGGCUCAACCGUAAAAUUGCAGUUGAAACUGGCAGUCUUGAGUACAGGAGAGGUGGGCGGAAUUCGUGGUGUAGCGGUGAAAUGCUUAGAUAUCACGAAGAACACCGAUUGCGAAGGCAGCUCACUGGACUGCAACUGACACUGAGGCUCGAAAGUGUGGGGAUCAAACAGGAUUAGAUACCCCUGUAGUC
rnacentral:rRNA from 1 species